CCCGCGGUUCCCCGCGGUUCCCCGCGGUUCCCCGCGCUCCGGGCUCGCGGCAGCGGCUCUGCAGGCCUCGGCCCCCGGCGCGCAGAUCUGAUGAAGCCCAUCGAGUGUUCUCCGAGUGCUGAAGCAGCCUUGCACCCUGGCGAUUAACCCCACUGGGUCGUGAUCUGAUGAAGCCCAUCGAGUGUUCUCCGAGUGCUGAAGCAGCCUUGCACCCUGGCGAUUAACCCCACUGGGUCGUGAUCUGAUGAAGCCCAUCGAGUGUUCUCCGAGUGCUGAAGCAGCCUUGCACCCUGGCGAUUAACCCCACUGGGUCGUGAUCUGAUGAAGCCCAUCGAGUGUUCUCCGAGUGCUGAAGCAGCCUUGCACCCUGGCGAUUAACCCCACUGGGUCGUGAUCUGAUGAAGCCCAUCGAGUGUUCUCCGAGUGCUGAAGCAGCCUUGCACCCUGGCGAUUAACCCCACUGGGUCGUGAUCUGAUGAAGCCCAUCGAGUGUUCUCCGAGUGCUGAAGCAGCCUUGCACCCUGGCGAUUAACCCCACUGGGUCGUGAUCUGAUGAAGCCCAUCGAGUGUUCUCCGAGUGCUGAAGCAGCCUUGCACCCUGGCGAUUAACCCCACUGGGUCGUGAUCUGAUCAGUCACAUGGAGUGUUUGACAAGUGUUGAACCAGCCUUGCAUCCCGGGGAUAAAUGCUACCUGGUCACGUCUGGGUAGACCAGAUGGGACCAGGUGAGGAGCAAGGAUUUGGCCUACAGCAAAGCUUGGGAAGGAAUGUAAAUAUCGUGAGCCCCGAGAGAACAAAGCCCACAGCAGAAUGUCCAUGUGAAUGAAUCACCGACACGGCAAGCCUGGACACAGGACAGGAGGCAUGGACACCUGCUUCUG